rnacentral:rRNA from 1 species
UGCCAGCAGCCGCGGUAAUACGGAGGGGGCUAGCGUUGUUCGGAAUUAUUGGGCGUAAAGGGCACGUAGGCGGCUAGGCAAGUUGGUGGUGAAAGCCCUCGGCUCAACCGAGGAAUUGCCCCCAAUACUGCCUGGCUUGAGUCCCGGAGAGGGUGGCGGAAUUCCCAGUGUAGCGGUGAAAUGCGUAGAUAUUGGGAGGAACACCAGUGGCGAAGGCGGCCACCUGGACGGGUACUGACGCUGAGGUGCGAAAGCGUGGGGAGCAAACAGGAUUAGAUA